GAAAGUAUCCCCGCUGCCUUCCUUCCCCUUCGAGCGGACGCGGGAGCCGAGAGCCGGGGAGGGAGAGAGAGGGAGGACGCGGAAAACGCGGUGAAAAACGGCCGCGGGUGCGAGGCCGUCGCCGGGGAAGGGUGAGCGGAAGACGCGAGCCGAAGCCGCUCGGCAAACUUUUCAGCCCCAGCUCGUAACGCGCUCGGCGAAGGGACGGCGGUGCCCGACCCAAAGAGGGGAAAAGCGGCGCUCGGAGACGUCCGCCGUAACUUAAAGCCGAGCGCCAGGGCGGCAGGAAGGCGCCGGGACUGCGCCCCCGGCACGGGAUCCGUUGCGCUCCUCCGUGUGCUCAGCCCGGCUCCGGAGAUCCUCCCGGGGAGCCGCUCUGCGGGGUCGCUCCGGGUGCUGCGAGGAAAACAAAACAAAACAAAAAUGUAAAGGAUUUGAAUUUGAAUUUCGAAUUGAAUCCCUCCUCCUUCCGCCGGCCUUCCUCGAAAAGAAGAAGAACAAAUUAAAAAAAAAAAAGAAAAAAGAAAAAAGAGAAAAAAAAAAAAGAAAAAAGAGAAAAUGAAUCAAACGAAAUGGGAGCGUUGGCACCUUCCCUUUGCCGAGGAGGCGCUACGGGCACCGUGUGGGCACCUCCCGAACCCCGACGGCAGCGGCCCCGGGACGCACAGCGGGACGAAGCCCACGGAGCGGCCCCACCGCCCCUUCCGUGUUCCCAUCGCCACGAGUUGUAGAGGGAACUUUUCCUAACGGGGAAUUAAUAUGGUGAUUAUUACUAAUAUAUAUAUAUAUAUAUAUAUAUAUAUAAAGCUUCCAUCCUUCCGAUGCAAACGUAUCAUCCGAUGGCCGCAACAACUGUCUGCUGUAAUAUUUAUCUAUUUCUGUGCCGGAAUAAAAAAAAAAAAAACAAACCAAAAACAAACAAACAUCCAGCGUGGAAAUGCGCUUCGCCUUUCCAUUUAACCCCUCCUCAUUGAUCCCGGCGAUCCCCCCCCACCCCUCCGCGCACAAACCCACUCGAUUUAUAGCGAAGCUCUGAAUCCAGAGCGGUUCCAGAAGAGGAGCGCUCCGGAUGGAGCGAUCCCCCCAUACACACACGGCACUGUCUCUUUCCCCCCACAGCCCCCCGCCCCCCUCCCAGCGCUAGGGAAGGCAAAUUAAAUAGUUAAAGGCUUCGAUUUCUCUCUCUCCCUUUUGUUACCCAAUUUUGGAACAUUUAAGGAUGGGUGUGUGUAUUGUGUUCAAUAAUAAAAGCUAUAGGGCCGCCAGGACAUUUAUCAUCCUAUUACUGUAACAAAUCCGGGCUCCCAAUACAUGAAAGGUAAAAUGAAUUACCGACGUUAAGCCGUCAAUAAAGUCAUUUCUGUAAA